rnacentral:rRNA from 1 species
GACGUAGGUGGCGAACGUUAUCCGGAAUUAUUGGGCGUAAAGGGUGCGUAGGCGGCAUGAUAAGUUAUUGGCGGUAAAUCGAGGCUCAACCUCGUGGAAACUGAUAAUACUGUUUUGCUUGAGUGCAGAAGAGGUUAACGGAACUCCAUGUGGAGCGGUAAAAUGUGUAGAUAUAUGGAAGAACAUCAAUAACGGCGAAGGCAGUUAACUAUUCUGUUACUGACGUUGAGGCACGAAAGCGUGGGGAGCAAAAAGG